CCUACGUGAGGCAGCAGUGGGGCAUAUUGGGCAAUGGGCGCAAGCCUGACCCAGCAACGCCGCGUGCAGGACGAAGGCUUUCGGGUUGUAAACUUCUUUUAUGAGGGACGAAAGACAUGACGGUACCUCAUGAAUAAGCCACGGCUAACUAAGUGCCAGCAGCCGCGGUAAUACGUAGGUGGCAAGCGUUAUUCGGAUUUACUGGGUGUAAAGGGCGUGUAGGCGGGACUACAAGUCAGAUGUGAAAAUUAUGGGCUCAACCCAUCACUUGCAUUGGAAACUGUAGUUCUUGAGUGAUGGAGAGGCAGGCGGAAUGCCGGGUGUAGCGGUGAAAGGCGUAGAUAUACGGAGGAACACCAGUGGCGAAGGCGGCCUGCUGGACAUUAACUGACGCUGAGGCGCGAAAGCGUGGGGAGCAAACAGGAUUAGAUACCCUAGUAGUC
rnacentral:rRNA from 1 species